GACGUAGGGCGCGAGCGUUGUCCGGAUUUAUUGGGCGUAAAGAGCUCGUAGGCGGUUUGUCGCGUCGACUGUGAAAACCUGGGGCUUAACUCUGGGCCUGCAGUCGAUACGGGCAGACGUUGAGUUCGGUAGGGGAGACUGGAAUUCCUGGUGUAGCGGUGAAAUGCGCAGAUAUCAGGAGGAACACCGGUGGCGAAGGCGGGUCUCUGGGCCGAUACUGACGCUGAGGAGCGAAAGCGUGGGGAGCGAACAGG
rnacentral:rRNA from 1 species